AUUGAACGCUGGCGGCAGGCUUAACACAUGCAAGUCGAGCGGUAACAGAGAGAAGCUUGCUUCUCUGCUGACGAGCGGCGGACGGGUGAGUAAUGCCUAGGAAUCUGCCUAGUAGUGGGGGAUAACUUGCCGAAAGGUAAGCUAAUACCGCAUACGUCCUACGGGAGAAAGGAGGGGACCUUCGGGCCUUUCGCUAUUAGAUGAGCCUAGGUCGGAUUAGUUAGUUGGUGAGGUAAUGGCUCACCAAGACCGCGAUCCGUAACUGGUCUGAGAGGAUGAUCAGUCACACUGGAACUGAGACACGGUCCAGACUCCUACGGGAGGCAGCAGUGGGGAAUAUUGGACAAUGGGGGGAACCCUGAUCCAGCCAUGCCGCGUGUGUGAAGAAGGUCUUAGGAUUGUAAAGCACUUUAAGUUGGGAGGAAGAGCGGUUAACUAAUAUUUGACUGUUUUGACGUUACCGACAGAAUAAGCACCGGCUAACUUCGUG
rnacentral:rRNA from 1 species